UAUAUUUGCCGUCUUAUUUAAGUAUACAUAAUAAUUAUUGAACUAAUAUUGGCAUG
ncrna:unclassified sequences S15-Flavobacteria ribosomal protein leader